CAAUGAUAAAUUGCAAUUUGCAUUGUAUGGCUUCUAAACCACUUUAUAAGUUUAUAAUUUAUUUUAUAAGCGACAAUGGAUGUGAUGCCAAUGUAAUUUGUAUCAUAGUAAAUUAGGAGGAUCUUCGAUCACCUGAUGCCGCGCUAGUUACAUAUUAAAUUAUUAUUUAAUACAAUGACAAAGCCUAGAAUAAAUUGUAAACGACUUUUGUAACAGGCAAGGUGUUGUAAGUGGUUGAGGAGCUGCCAUACUGCGAUCCACUGAAGCUUAUCCUUUGCUUGAUGAUUCGA
rnacentral:ncRNA from 1 species